rnacentral:lncRNA from 1 species
AAAAAGUUAGAACCCUAACUAAUUUCGCCACCUGUUUCAAACAAUGACGACGAUCUCUGAUCUUUCCAGAGAUUUGAUCGGGCAGAUACUCUCCAAAGUUCCGAUUACAUGUGUUGGAAAAGUAAGAUGCACAUGCAAACGAUGGAAUGCUUCAUCGAGACAUAGGAUAUUUGGUAAAGCAGUAGCUAGGCAGUUUAUGGGGUUCAUGAUGAUGGAUUUUAAGGUUUGUUCAGUUAGAAUCGAUCUCAACGGAAUAGUAAAGGACGAGGAAGGCUCUGGUCCAGUAUCUAUAAAACCUAUUGAUAAGCUCAAUGAAAUCGAGAUAUCUAAAGUAUUUCACUGCGACGGCUUGUUGUUAUGCACGACCAGAGACAACACGAGGCUAUUGGUUUGGAACCCGUAUCUCGGGCAAAUGAAGUGGAUCGAGCCCAAAACAGCUUACCACAGAUUGGACAGGUAUGCUCUGGGGUAUGAUACAAACAAGAAAUCCUACAAAAUAUUGAGGUUUGUAGAUGAUGCCUACUGGCCCACAUCCCUUUUUGAGUUUGAAAUCUACGAUAUGAACUCUAACUUGUGGAGGGCUCUUGAUGUCACUCCCGACUGGGAUAUCGAGUUUUUUCGACCCGGCUUGACAGUAAAGGGAAACACUUACUUUUUUGCUAAACAAAAAAUAAUAUUAGACGAAGGUGAAGCAGACGGAGAUGUAGAUGAUUUCUUGGUCUCUUUUGAUUUUACCAAAGAGAGAUUUGGACCACAUCUGCACGUGCCGUUUCACUCUCGUCUCGACGAAGACACCGUGGUUCUAUCGAGUGUCGGAGAAGAGAAGCUUGCAGCGUUAUAUCAGUGCAUGGAUAGAAAUAUGAUGGAGAUAUGGGUUACGACUAAGAUUGAGCCCCACGCGGUGUCGUGGAGCAAGCUGUACUUCUUAGCAGUUGAUAAGAUGGUCCCUCUCUUAAGUGGAAGUUUCUUCAUUGACGAGGAAAAGAAACUCGCACUGGCUUUCACUUUAGACACACUUGGUCGCUACAAAAGGGCUUACAUCAUUGGAGAGGAUGAGUAUUUUAAACAAGUGGAUCUCGGAGAAGCUGUUGUGAUUCCUGAUGACGACGACUAUCCCUACUGUUUCCCACUCGUAUGCUCUUACGUGCCAAGUUUAGUGCAAAUCAACUAAGGCUUAGUACUAUCGGGAAAAGGAAAGAACGAUAAGUUCAUUUUUUAUAAGUGUCGUGUUUGUUUCAUAUCAUCUCCUCUUUGUUUUCUUUUGCCGUUUGUCAUCUUCUUUGAACAAGACUUCGUCAAUUACUUUUAUUUAUUACUCGUAUUGAAGUCUUGAACAAGUAUUUAUUUAAUCACAAAACAUGCAUCCUUUUGGACAUAUGCGUGUUGCAACUACCUUUGUACCAAAAUACUCGUCCCGAUCGUGCAGUAUGAUCUGCAGUUUAUUAGCUACCCUAUCCUUUAAUUCUCCAGCUAAUAUUUGAUGGAAAGAGAAAUAGUUAUGAGCUAAUCCGUCCCGUACCAAAUCAAAACAAAAUAAUGCCUAUAAUUAAAAAAAGUUCGAACGAGUGGAAAAAAAAGCGAUCGGAGAUGGGAAUUCAACAAGAGUGUGGUGCUGGAUCUUAAAAGAUAAUAUUGGACGACCGGUUGGUCCACCGAAUGAAAUGGUUGCUGAUCUACUAACUAGAGGAUCCAACGAGUGGAACGUUCCCAAAGUUAAAUCCUUAUUCCCACUCAUCUCAAAGGAAAUUCUCUGCAUCUCUCCGAGCACAUUAGGGGCGAUUGACGAUUUCGUUUGGACACCUACUAAGGACGGAGUCUAUACCACCAAGUCAGGAUAUUUCAUUGCAAUGAAGAGCAGAGCAACUCUGAACAAUGAGGCGGAUUCAUUACUCGAGUUGGAAUGGACGAAGAAGGUUUGGGGGACACCCUGUCUCCCGAAAGUCAAGCUCUUUAUGUAGAAGUUGGUUGAAGGAGCUCUGGCCCUGGGUUCUAAAAUUUAUAUUUCAAAACUGGAAUCGAAUAUAAAAAUUUCAAAUCACAAGUAAUUCAAAUCUAAAACAAAGAUUUGUAAUCAUUUUUGUUUAUUUUUUACAUGGAAAUGGCCUUGGGAAUUUUAUGAAAUUUCAUAGAAAAUCAAAGAAGAAGCAAAAAAAAAAACUUAAAUCUUCUCAUCAUCUUCGUGUCCAAUUUAAUUGCUUAGUUAACCUCUAAACAUCUGAGCCCGUUCUCGAUCAUCUGCCACUGCAAUUCUUGAUGCUGACAACGAACAGAAUUCGACCUCAUUAACCCUAUACUGCUUCUGCUGCUGAGAUUGCUUGCAAUGCAAGAUAGCUCCUUGAAUAGAAUUCUCUAUCUCUGAGUUCGAACUCGUACUUCUCUUCAAAAACUGCAAUGGGGAUACCCUAAACUAGUCGAUGACUUUUUGUUCGAACUCUUCGCAGGUUGUCUCCUCAUAGAAAUCGAAAAAGAUCUCCUAUGGCUCGGCUCCCAGGAACAGAACCAUUACUCUUCUUUUUAGGUCUCUCUGCUCGAGAAUACCUCAAAUAGAUCCUUCAUCAGCAACUCUUGACUCAUCAGAACAGCUUGACUUCCCAAAAAUUGAUCUUAGAUAAGCUCUCGAAGAUUUAAUCUUCUUUCCAAAACUCAAUCGUGUGUUCAAUCUCAGUUUCUUGCUCCAAGAUUUCUUCUUCUCAUCCUCCUCCACUGAACUUGAAUAUUCAAGAAAAUAGUCUUUAGGGUUAGGCUCUUUACUCACUUGACAAGAAUCUGCUGGAGAGACGGUGCAAGACUCGAAAGGGGAGUUACUCGUCACUUGAGUAGUAAACGUUCCGGUGGCUAUAAAGGUGUGCUGUAGAAUUCUUGGUCAAAGGUGUAAUCUUCUAGAAGCUUUUGAACCAUUAGGAGACGUGGAGUUAAGUGAAGAGGAAGAAGCUUGCCUUUGUAGAAGAGUUCAUCUGCUGGAAAAGUGGUUUUGUCUAUCUCAAGAGGACAAAGAUGAGAGAUUUUAUUGAUAAGCUCAAUGAAAUCGAGAUAUCUAAAGUAUUUCACUGCGACGGCUUGUUGUUAUGCACGACCAGAGACAACACGAGGCUAUUGGUUUGGAACCCGUAUCUCGGGCAAAUGAAGUGGAUCGAGCCCAAAACAGCUUACCACAGAUUGGACAGGUAUGCUCUGGGGUAUGAUACAAACAAGAAAUCCUACAAAAUAUUGAGGUUUGUAGAUGAUGCCUACUGGCCCACAUCCCUUUUUGAGUUUGAAAUCUACGAUAUGAACUCUAACUUGUGGAGGGCUCUUGAUGUCACUCCCGACUGGGAUAUCGAGUUUUUCAAAGUAAUUUUCUCUAUAAAAUAUACUAAAAAAUAUAGUUUUCAAUAUCCACAUAAUUUGAUAUAUAUUGUUGUGUCGGUGAUUAAACCCACCGUUUUUGGGUAACCCGUAUAUAUAUAACAAGCAUAUCCUAAUGUGUGGUAUAUGUCAUCUAUAAGCAAGCGUGAAAAAGUUAGAACCCUAACUAAUUUCGCCACCUGUUUCAAACAAUGACGACGAUCUCUGAUCUUUCCAGAGAUUUGAUCGGGCAGAUACUCUCCAAAGUUCCGAUUACAUGUGUUGGAAAAGUAAGAUGCACAUGCAAACGAUGGAAUGCUUCAUCGAGACAUAGGAUAUUUGGUAAAGCAGUAGCUAGGCAGUUUAUGGGGUUCAUGAUGAUGG